UCCCGAUUCCAGUUGCCAAAAGGCGACCGACCCCGGCGACGCUCGAUCCGGUGAGCCUGGAGCGCUCUCCUCGCCGCCGGUGCCAUGGCGCUGGUCGCUGUCGCGGCUGUCUUCUUCCCCUGGCCCCGCCUCUCGCCUCCAGUGUACGCGCGCUCCUCCCCCUCUGUCCCACCCCCUCGCUGCCGACCCCGCCCGCCCCUUCGCCGCCGCCAUGGCCGUCCGCGUGCUCCGUGUCGACAACUACGACUCCCCCGCGCACAGGAGCCCCUUCUCCUUCUCCUAAACGUGCACAAACUCCUCCUAAACAGCGUGCACCGCCUCCGAUCUGUGCUCUCUCUCCUCUCCAUGACGCCGAUUUGUCCUCUUCGGCUUCCUUCCAGCUCCAUGUGCUCCUUCCUCUCCCCACCGCCCCCAAUCCUACCCGGUGCCACACCCAGCCUCGUCCACGUCGAUCUCCUGGCGCUGGCGGCUGCGUUCAAUUUGGAUGGAAUUCAGUGCCAUGUCCGUGCAAAAGAAAUACUCCAACACGAUAGCCAUGGAUGGCGGAUCUGGAUUUCACAAAUUCUUCAGUGCCAUAAAAAGAAAGCCUCCACCGGAUUAGAUCACAAGUUCUGAAGAUGAACAGCUCAAUGUUGCGUCCGCCGACUUCGUCGUCGCCUCCGCCAACUUCGCCUGAAGACCAUCCUCCGUUGUCUUCAUCGAUUUUAACGCAAGAACAUCCGCAAUCGCCUCCGCCGACUUUGCCGGAAGACCAUUAGACGUCGCCUAGACCUACUUCGUCGCAGGUAUCUUUUUUCUUUGUGCAAAAUAUGAUGGAGCUAUGUUCGAUUUACAAAGAUUUACAGCCAGAGUUUACUGAUGGUUAAACUAGCAAUUUGAAUUGGCGUGAGCAAGUAUUUAACGCAAUUGGUCUGUUGGCAUAGGCUCAAGCAAGAAACUCAUCGAUCUGUACUUUCGCCAUCUUGUUUCCUCUGUCAAACUAGCUGCAGCAAUAGUGCUUCUUGCUGUACAAUAUCGGCAUGCCAAUUGAUACAAUAGUUUUGUCAACUGAUUCAUGUUGUAGUGCUUCUUGCUGUACAAUACCACAUCUGGUUUCCACCAAGAAGCUGGAUCAGCGACAUUGGACUCUGGUAAGCUCGUGAAAAUUCUUGCAAUCCAGACUUGGGAGAGUCAAAUUUACAAGUAGCUUUUAUAAUGAUAGCUAACAUCAGCUUACUAUGGUUUAUUUGGUCCAUGUAGAGCUGGCAUGGUACGGCUACACUUCCAAUAGUUUUACUUGCUAACAAAAAUCAAGUAUAACUAAAAGAACAGAUCUUUCUCUUGCUGAAAUAGGUUUGGACGCACGGUGUGGUAUAUAUAUGUUAAGUUUAGCCGUAUGUAAUAAUGCAAUGCUCAUGGUUUAUAGUGCUACAUAUUUGCUUAGUGGGCAGGAAUAACUGGUUAGCCUUCCAUAACUUCUAUUUCUAUUACUGCAGAAUAAUUGUUUUUUACAUGGAGCUGACUGUUAUUUCUUCUUUUUCAUCAGGAUUUAAUACAUCAAGUUAACUGCUAUUCCUUCUUUUGUUCCAGUAGUUAAGGGCGCAUUUCGGAGGGGAGCAUACGUAUUACCUUGAUUGAGUUUAGUUUCGUGUGCUGCAUUACUGUUAUAAUUAAGUUACCAGCAGCAAAGAAAGAGUCAUGUAGGCACUAAAACUGAUAAGGUAGUUUGCUCUUGCAGAUCAGAUGGUUGAUCAUUUUUCCAUACAAGUGCUACUAAACUCUACCAAGUUCUAUAAUGACACAAUAGUAACUUGUCACAUGACAAGUUUACUGAGUAAUGAGUAUGCACAGAAGCUUUGAUUCUUUGUCAUCUAUAGUCUACUUGGAAUAUAACUCACAAGCCCCGGAUCACGGCGUUCCCGUGGAGGAAGAGGGUGGCGGGGUCGAGCUCCUGUGAAUAGAGAGGGAGGCGAGGAUGGGUGCGGCAGGUAGAGCCCCGUCCUCCUUUGUCCUCUCCCAUCGAGCGUCGUAUCAAAGAAGCAGCAGCUCCCAACCUCCAUCCCGUCUCCUCUCCUACAUCGGCUGUGCCACGCCGCACUCGUGGACCAGAGUCGCGGAAGCACAUGGACAGUGCAAUGUCAACCGUUGGAUCUGCAGACAUUAAAGUCGCCGGCAUAAAAAGAGAUCUUGUGGACGUAUAGGAUGAGGUGCAAACCGCAGAGGUAAAAUCUUGCUCAACAUUGCAGAGUUAGGAGUGAAGGUCGUGAUUGCUAUUGUAGCUGGUUUUAUUAUUUGUUGAAAGUUCCUUGGUCCAAUUGUUCUGAGUUCUGAUAACUUAUAGUGGGAUUGUUGUUUCUUUAUUGGAAAAAAAACUCACAAUCUUUAGUUUAGAAGGUUUAACUACGCUUUUCUCGAACAUCGAUGUACAUUUUGAAAGUUGUUUGAUAAGAUCCGCUUUGUUAGUUUGUUACCGUGGUGAUGUCUUUUCUUCACAGGGGUGAUAUAUCAAAUCCUAGAGUUGUAAAUAAGAAGUUAUUUUUACUCUGUUUCAGGAUACUACUCCAAUGCCUAUCCAUUUACAGAUUUACAUGCUUGAACAUUUGCACCAAAAUACAAGAUGCCUAUUUAUCUUGCUUAGUUAUUCACCUAUAUUGAGCCAUAUGAAGUUAUCUUCCUGGAUGUGUAAUAAGCCAUCAAGUUGUUCAAUCAUUAACUGCUGCAAUGCUUGAACUUCCAUGAAGAGCUUUGAAGAUAAAUACUGUGCACCUCUAUUUAAAGUGCUUCUUCUGUGCAUUUCUAUAAGAAAAACUAUACGCAAAUCAUGAAGCACUGGAUGGUAUCAACCAAACUGUUAAUGGCCGCAACCUAAUAAUACUUGCCCUUUCAUAUGGUAGAGAACAAUUGCACAGUAGCUGUUAAGGCUUUGAUAUUUGUGGCACAUUCGAUCCCACCUGAUUCAUUGCUUUUCUUGUGAACAUGUUCUAAGUUUGCUUUAACACAUAAAUUUGUUCUAUUGCCUUGCUAGCAAUAUAGUAGAAAUGAAAUGAGUAUGUACUAAAUAUGUUUUUUCUGCUUUACAAUUAUCAGCGAUCUUCCUGGCUUCAGCAUAAAGGUAAAAUUUAGUGCAUUUGGUAGAUUUCAACUAGCUUGGAAAAGGCAAAACCAUAUGCUUAAGCUUCGGCAUUCAGCAGUACAUAAAUGCAUCCUGUGAUAUUUUCUGUAUUUAUUGCAAAAGGAAAACCUAACCGCAUUUGAGCUUCUGGACCUUGGAGUAAUUACCUAUAUGUCACUGAUGGGAUUAACUGCCUUCCCUGCCCAGUUUGACAUUUUUGUUUCUCAUACAGGGAGCUGUUAAUCAGCGCCAACUGAUGAUAAGGAAUAAGCUCCUGUUUUCUUGUUUGUUUAGUACUUGACCAUACAAAGAACUGCUUUGUAAAUAGCGACAUCGAAUCAAAACGAGCGAAGUAGCAUUCCUGGGAAAAUGGAUAGAUAGGGGUCUCUAACAGAUAUUACCAUGUGUUAUUGCAUCUCAAGAUAGGCAAGUAUCUCUGACAGAUGUUAGCAUAUAUUCUUGCAUCUCGAGAUGAUAUUGGAUAGCUUGCGUGUGCAUAUAUCUCAAGGAUAAUUGAUUUAUGUUAUAUGGCUGCAGUCAUGCUUGCAUUAGCAUCAAUUAAUAUUAUGUGACUGUUCUUUUUGGUUGACCCAUGGUCUCCUUGUGAUAUUAUAGUAAUCCAGACCUAAUUAGGGCACCGGUUCAUGUCUCAUUACACUAUUCACUGCCCACAGUAAUUCAGAGUUGUAGAUAGGGACGGAGCGGUGAGAACUGAUUGUCCUCUACUCCUUUUUGUACGUUUGAUUGAACAGUCGACCUCAAUAUAAUAUCACUUUGAUUAACAUAUUAUGUGAUAAUUUUUUCUCUUGAUUGCAAAAGAAAAAACAAAUGCCCAUUUGGUCUUUUGGGGCCUGCAGUAGAGUUACCUCUAUUCCACUGAUGAUAUUAACUAGCUUUCCUGGCCAGUUUGAUAUUUGGUUUCUCAUACUAGGAGUCGUUAAUAAGCUGCAACUAAUGAGAUGGAACGAUAUUUUUGUGUGUGUAGCACUUAACCAC
rnacentral:rRNA from 1 species